rnacentral:lncRNA from 1 species
GCUGUGUUAUUAUCGAAUAGGGACCCUGCUUGCUGUUUGUGCGGGUUUGUUAGUUGGUUUAGGAAGGACUAUAUGGUUUUUGUCUGAUGUUUCAUGUUUCUUAGCUUGGUGGCUUGUAUGUUGCAAUGUCUGGUAGGAUAUAGGUGAUGUUAUUAGCUUUUGUGUUAGCAAGUCAUCAUUAGGUGAUGUUAUAUUCUCUUUAACGUUUUGUUUCAAUUCCCUGUAAGCCUCUAGGCAGCUUGUAUACUCUCUCCAACUUAGGCAUAUCUUGUGCUUUUAGUUGUGCUUUAUAAAUGUAUUUUGCUGUUUAAAAAUAAAAACCCUUAAUUUUGUAACUUUGAAAGGCAAAGUAAAUAAAUCACACAUCCAACGACCAAUACUAUGUCCUUGCACACUUUGCAUUCUCUCAAUUUACCUUCAAUUAUGUUAGAUUGUUAGCUCCUUAGGAAGAUGACAUUCAUGUUACCUCCAUUGUAUUGAGAGUGAACAAUCUGACUAAUGCAAAAAUGGUGAUUUAGUCCUAUGUUACAUAUGGAAAACUGGU